AUGGACCAACACGAGACACACGUAUCUAAAGAAGUAAUCAUGUUCUGCAGAGAAAAGAAUAUUGAAAUUCUCUGCCUACCUGCCCACACCACGCACAAACUACAGCCCCUUGCACAUACUAUUGCGGUCUUCAACCCACUGAAGACUGCUUUCUCCACCAUGGCUUCCAGGAUGGGUCUGGUGCGAGGGGACAUUGUUGUGGGGAAGAAGCAGUUUUCAGAUCUCCUCAAACAUGUGUAUCCCACUGCUGUCACAGCCCAAAACAUUAAGGCCGGGUUUCGCAAGGCUGGCAUUUUUCCUCUGUCCAGGGCUGCUGUGGACACAACCCAGGUGGUGAGAGUGCUUCCAUCUGUAGAUGGAAGUGAUGCCACACAAUCCAGCGCUGCCGCCACUCCCUCAAUCACACCAUCCAUCGCUCCCACCACACCAUCCAUCACAUCACCUACUGACAUAUCAGUCAUAACUCCUUGCCCCACCUGUAAUAUUAAUAAAGUGGGUCACAAAAAUUACCUGGUGGCAGCAGGUGUAAUACCAGAGAGUCUGGCUAACGUUCUAAUGAGCCCAGCCCUGGAGAGGAAGGAGAAGGUGAGGCGUCGCAUUCCGCUGCCAGCCCGAGUCAUCACCAGCGAUGAGUAUUUUGACCUGCUGGUAGAGAAAGAAACAGAGGAGAAAGACAAGGAAGAAAAGAAGCGAAAGCGUAACAAAGAGAUGGCAAAGAAGAAGGAGGAAAAAAGACAAGCCCAGGAGGCCAAAAGGCAAAAAAAUCAGGAACCUCCUCCUACUGAAAAUGGAGAACACUGCGCUCUCUGCCAUAGAGUGGUCCCACCUGGCUCAGGAGAUGAGGCCAUUGAUGAAUGGGUCCGGUGCGACCUAUGCCAUUUGUGGUUCCACCUGGUGUGCGCUGAAGUGGAGGAAGUGCCAGACACUGACUGGCUUUGCCAUAAAUGUUGUCUGUCCACAUAAAAACACACAUUACACACACACAAUGUAAAUGGUGCACACAUACAAAAAAAAUUAACAUUCAUUUCUAGUUAUUGUAUUUUUUUAAAUAAGUUUAGUGUUAAAUGUAAAUAGUUGUAAACAAACAAACACACACACACACACGUAUCCUGAUAAUUUGUUGUGAAGUUUUCACAUUGAUUAAUCAUUAAAUAUUUUUAAUCAGUUCAAAUUGUUUGCCCUUCUUUGUCUUCAGAAAGAUAUGGUAACGUUAUUCACUUGCUUAACUCACAUGCCAUAAUCUAUAUCACGACACAAUCAGGCCUAGCUCGCAUGCUCCUCUAGCUUUUUAAAGCAGCAAAUAACUUAAAUUUUAAACAAAUAAAAAAGUUACUCACCUUUCAUAUUCAUUGAAAUUAUGUUUCUCCAGUUAAAAUAAAUAAAUAGCUCAAAGUCGAUCCGUUAAAUGUCCAUUUUCUUCCUGAAAAUAAAAGAAGGCGCUCUCUGUACGGAACAUCAUAAUAGCCUAUACGGAACACCGUUAACGCUUCUCAUCUUCCAUACACGUGCGGAGGAGGUACUUUUCCCCACUUUUCUCAAAAACUAUUGGUCCAAAAGACAUCACUCAAAGUGUGGACUGUGCAAUAGGUGUUCUGCCAGAGAAUGAUCACACAAACAUGCUUGUCUGGCUUUAAACAACGGAGGAGUGGUUGCUGGUGUGCGGUUAAGGGCGAAAAGUGUACGGAACAUGGUUAGUCUACGUUAAGUGUUGUUGAUUUAAUCUGUAUUAGUGCACUGCUGAAAACUUUACUUGUGCAUAACUUAAUGCAGAACGGUGUAACUAAUGCAUAGUUGUUUUAUUUAGAGGGGAGAAAGUGCUUCCAUAUAGAUCCUUUGUGUUUCCAGGGUGAGUGUAAAGCAUUCAAGUGAGUGUUCACAUUUAUUGAUUGUAAAAUUGUUUAAUAGCGUUUCACUAGAGUGAAAUGGUAUUAUGGGAUUAUGUUAAAGAUGGUCAAUCUGUUGAUGAGUUCAUUGAUGAGGUUCACUGUAAAAAUAGUCAGAAAAAUAUACAGCAAAACACCGUCAAAUUCCAACGGUAAUGGAGCGUAAAACCAAAAACUUCCUUUUACUGUAUUAAAUAGAUUGAAUAACCGUUAAUUGUGAGACUGGAUAAAACUUUGUAUUUUACUGUAAUAAAAUGUUGAAAUUAUAAAUAUUUUCAGUGAAAACAAAUAAAUAUGCAUACAUUUUACAAUUAAAUAUUGUAAUGUUGAAAAUGUCUGAAAACCUUAGAUUUUACGGUAUU
rnacentral:lncRNA from 1 species